UCCCAUUUUUGGCUACAAGAGCUCUGAGGUUUCAAGCUGAAGAUGAGAAACUUGCACUUUUGUGGUUUGGGGUGUAAGAAUAUGAAAACCAGGGGAUUUUCACCCUGACCCCAAAUCCCGCAGCGUUCCAGCACGUCUGCUUAUCCCGGCAGUGUUUAUGUCGGAUCUGAGCCACCAAAUACCAGGCCACCUCCUUUUUCUAGCUUUUAUUUUUAUUUUUCUGGUUGGUUCUGCUGCCCGCUGGAUCUUGCAGAGUAACAGUUGAAGACAGAAAUGCCCGAGAGCGAAAAAAGAGCUUUGCUGGGUGCACAUGGUGUUGAUUCAGCCUUGAGAUGAUGUGUAGAUGACACCCAAAGCCUCAGUGGGAUAAUCUGCCAUCUUUGAACAUCCAACUCUUCGCUUGGAAAGACCAACGUUUAAUAAUUGUUCCACAUCUCCCCAAAUUGUUUUUCCUCUCCCAUUGUCUGCAUUGCCACAUCUUUUGGGAGAAGGAAUUUUUCUUGUUCUCCCCAAGCUGGACUCACAGAGACAUCAUGAAUUACAGCGCUCCCUCACUUUGAUGUCUCUGAUGCUUUGGGCUAAGUUUCUGGGAAACAGUGCUUAAGGCACGGGGAAGUGGAGAGCUGGGAAAAGGACACAGCAGUCCUUGAAGACAAACACAAUUAUGGGUGAGAAGCCUCUCCUUAGAAUGACUCAGAGCACUUUGAUUCUCUCUGCUGGCUCCGGAUGCUGAGCUGCCCACAUCCUACCAGGACAGGCCUAGGACAUGUCCUGCACACUGCACCUCACCCCAGCAAAAGAAUGGUCUGGUAGCGGGAGAUGCUCCAGCUCUCAUCAGGAAACAGGUUUAUGGCCACAGCUUGGAGGAGGACUCAUAGCCCUGGGGCCAAGGUAGGCAGACAGAAGCCUAGUAGAAGUUCAGCAUUGCACAGCAAGCAACUGCCCAAAGCAGGGAAGGCUGAGGACAUAAGUGUCACCCUGCUGGGAAGGCUGAUGGGCUUGAACCUUGGUUCAAAUGAGACAAGUGCAUGGUGCAAGGCUGAUGGUGCACCAGCUGCUGGAAUCCUCUUGCUUUCGGAGCUCAUUGCUCAAAGCUCAUUGCUCAAAGCCCUGCUGCUCCCUUCCAGACUUGCUUUCAAAGCGCUUUCCUCUCUUAUACAUAUUUCUCAAUAAGGAUAUAGAAAUAAAUUACGUGCAGAAAAAAAAAAAAAACAGCUUGCCUUGUUCAGGCCUAUUCGUUCCCAAUGGUUUUGUCCCAGAAUAAACACAGACAUGUUUUGAAGCUUGUUGUGAAAGGAGAUUAACUCUAAAAUCUACUUCCUGGCUUUGAAGACUGCAGAUCAGCAUGGCUUUUAUUAUUAACCGGUCAUUAGAGUGAGUGACAUAUAGAAGGAAUAAUUGCUUGGCUUGUUUCAGAGUUGAAGGAUGUUAAUUAAGAAGUUAAAUGUUUGUUUUCCUUGCUUGGAACAAAGCACUCCUAGGGUUUGCACUGAGGGGGUGUUCUCCACCCCAGAGGCAGGUCCAGGUUUUGGGAGUGGGAGUGGUUAUGCAGCCCCAAUGCAGCCACAUCAUGGGUCCUUCGCUGUCCUGUCAUCUGCAUCCAUGGGCAAGGUCCCACAGAAUGCAGAGUGGAAAUGUAAUGGCCCUAAGGGAGGGUCAGGUUGGAUAUUAGGAACAAUUUAUUCUCCAAAGGAGUGGUGAUGCACUGGCACACACUGCCCAGCGAGUGGUGGGGUCACCCUGGAGGUGUUCCAGAACCGUGAGGAUGUGGCACUGAGGGACGUGGUCAUGGGCAUGGUGGGGAUGGAUUGACAGCUGGACUUGAUCUUAGAGGUCUUUUCCACCCUUAAUGUUUCUAUUUUGGGAGCUUAGAUGGGAAAGAUUCUGCUGUGAGAUGGGCGGGGAGAAAGUCAUGCUGCAGAGCUUGGCAAGACCAAGGAGAGAGCACUGGUGGUGUGACAACACAAUGCACAUGGCUGCUGCAAUGGCCAUCACAUCCAGACCCAUCACAACGGCUCCUGCUUUGCCCCUCUCUCUUUGCAAGCUUUGCUGCAUCCCAGGCAGACAGCGCUGCUCUUUUUGCAGCCCUCCAGCUCCAAGGUUUGGCACCAACAGAGGUCAAAGGAGGAACACACUGAGCAGCAGAGGAUUGGCUUUGCAGCAGCGCGGUGCACACAGGGAGCAAACUGAGCAGCAGCCCUGAGGGUUUGUGAGGCUCUCAGGUUCUGCAGAGCCCUGGGGCUGUUUGCUCGCAGGAAGUAAUGACAAGAGGCACGUCUGCAGAGCUCAGAGCUCUGAGAAGGCCGCGUUAUAUAAUGCCGCCUGCGCUGUCAGGCACUGCGCCAGUGGGGUAAGGAGAGACUCAGUGACCUUUUGGUGGUGACACAUGGGGAGAGCUGUGUGACUAAAUCCAGCUCUGCUGUGCUCCUGCCCGCAGACGUUAUAUAUGUGAAAGGCAUUUGCAUUUUACUUGGAAAAUAUAUCCUGCAAAGGGGAAAGAGACAACACACUGCAGCCCGGCAGCUGUGCUUGGCCCCCUUCUGUGUUGCUGGUGCUGCUGCAUGUGAAGGUGCAGGCUCUGGGAAAUGGCCAUAGGCUGGGAGGUGAGCACAGAAGAGUGAUGCCUCCAGUGGCCAUGCUGCUCUCCAUAGAAUGGAAUGGAAUGGAAUGGAAUGGAAUGGAAUGGAGUGGAAUGGAAUGGAGUGGAAUACUGUAGUUAGAGUUGGAAGGUACUUUUAGACUAUCUAGCCCAACUCCCCUGCAAUGAGCAUCAACAUCUACAGCUCAAUCAGUCUGCUCAGAGUCCAGUCCAGCCUGACCUUAAGCUCAAGGAUAGGGGACUCACUGUGAUGCAAUCCCCUAUGUCAUCCAACUCUGUGAUACUUGUUAACAAAGGAGGAAAUGGAGCAAGGAAGAAAACUUACUGGGGUUGAACAUUGGAAAAUGGGCCAUGACGUGGUUUAGAACAAAAGCAGUGUCAUGGAUUUCAUCACAGCAUCUGUAUCCUUAUUUUGGUGGCAUGUACACAGAGAUGCAUGGCACUGGUACCAUGUAUUGAUAGUACUGGUAAACCCCAUAGCUCUGAUAUCUUUCUUUUCUGCAGUACACUGAUCCUGGAAAUCCUAUGCUGCAUUACGAGUACAGCGUAUUGACCUGGUUACUGGGAUGCUUGUGGUAUAUGCAAGACAGCAAACAAAGAAAGGUAGGAAACUAACAAGAUGCCCUGCAGCAAAGCUUGGUGGUUGCUGCAGGAUAGUGGGAAAUCCCUCUGACACUCUGUGUAGAGCCCACCAGAUGGGGUGCAGGCCAGAAAUGUGCCUCCAUGAGUACAAAUCCUGCACCCUGAAGGCACUGUGGCUGCUGUCACUGUGUUGUCCCUAUGCCACUGGGUUGGUGCACAAUGAGCCCACAGCCUCUGAACACCCAGAGCUUGUCAUCCCCUAAAAGUUCAGUGGGGUGGGGAAGUGGAAAAGCCAGCUGGGAAUGCUGUGAGAUAAGGAAUGGGAAGGGUUCCCAGUGAUUCUGGCAGGUGUUUUUGGGUACUCCAAGCUUUCUCUUACAAAAAUAAAGCUUCCAGUUGAAGCCAUUCUCAGCACAAAGAGCAGAAAUAGACUCCACUCCAGGCAAGCAGGAAGAAGUAGAAAAUAAACUCAUGCUAAGAUAGACCCUAAUCCUUUUCUGGAGGGAACCAUGCACCCCGCUCCCCCUGGCAAUAAGGCACAGGACGUGGGAUCCAUUUUGAGUCUGGUGAGCUGCAUUCCCAGGUGGGAGCACACACUUUCCCAGUGACUUAAAUUUCUGCACUCCUGUCUUUAUUUUCUCUUUAAAUCAUCUAAAAAAUGGAGUCGCAUCCCUUGGUGAAGAGACACGGGAGUUCUUCAGCUGAGGUUGCUGAGCAAUUGAUAGCGGUUUCUGCAGUCAUCACUGCAAUCAUCCAUGGCUAUGGAUGCCAUGCAAUGGGUUCUCUGAGGCUCUAAGUGCAUUCAGGUGCUCAAACAUAGGAAUUUUCAAACACUGCAGUGAAUGGCUGUGGAGGGAAUGUAAAGGUCAGGGCAUGAUCCUGAAGCUAAUCUCAGAAUGGCAGCUGCACCCAGGGCUGGGCAUGGAUUAGAAGCAAUGGAAACUCUGAGCCUGCUGCCUGAUUUAUCCGGGCAGGAAUUUACUGCAGCUGGGCUGGGGCUACAUUGCCUUUCCUGACCGCACUGUGUGUGAGCAGGCUGAGUGCUCCAAACUGCCUCUGAAGUGCUGUGCACCCCACCUGCACCAGGAUGGCACGGCAAGGUUGGAAUUCUGCUUACACAGCCAAAAGCGCCACCAAAUUUGCAGAAAUGCACUACUCUUCCCUCACUCACAACCCACCAGUUCUCACUUUUCCUCCUUGCUGCCCAAACAUUGCAAACAAGUGCCUUUCUGGUGCGAUUGUGUGCCUACAGCACCAGGUGCUCGUCCCUGCUGAAUUGAGGUCUGUUUGUUCAGACCGUUGCUCCAAUUUGCCAAGAUCGUUCUGAAUCCAAACCCCGUGUUCCAACACGCCUGCAGUUUCUCCCAGGGGGUGUCAUCUCCCAGAUUCUCCUCUGUCAUGCUGAUCACGUUAACCUGUUCAAGCAAGCAUGGCCCAUAGCAGUAAUACCAUCCUGCACUUGAAAAGGACCAUGUCUUGAGCGCAGUAUGGCAGCGUUCCUGCUCCCAGGUUGCAAGCAGAUGCUCAAACAGUACAGAACCAUAAAUCUUUCAGUGAUUUCUGAAGUCUGUUCUCUUUGAAGAUCCUCCUGGUGCUUGCAAUCCGUGUACAUGUGCAUCUGUGAAAGGAGCUGUCUGAGGUUUUUAUUUGUAGGACUGCGACUGUCCUUUGCAAAAAAGCACAAAGCAAGCCAAGCUUCCUUGCCAAAGAUGCUGGUAUAGCUGCUUUUGGGAUGCUGGCCAACAAGCAGAAAUAGUGCCAUUGAUUUCAGCAAACCAGUCGUGCACCUUGCCUGGCACACACCUUGUGAAUAAGCAUGGAAAAAUGUUGCGGACGACACAAGAGCCACGUUCUGUUUGCACAAAACAUUUGGCAAACAAAUGAAGAGGGAAGAAAGUCACACCAACUGCUCUGUGUUCAUGAUGCGGAAAAAGAGGGGGAAAAAAAGGGGUUGAUUUUGUCAUAAGCUGCACGUACCCUUGUUUGCCUGGCUAAUGGGGGUAAAAAUGUAUGUGGAACAGUGCUGACAGUUUGCUGUCCCCAGAGGUGAGCAUCUGCUCACUGCCAUGUCCAAUGGGGACAACCCAGGGUGUGGGUGCAGGCUUCCCUCGUCCUCCCUGGGUGACACUGAGUCACAUCUGCUCUGUAGCUGUCCUGACGCUGCAGUGGCACAGCUAUGUUUGCCACGAUGGCUUCUCUGCCCAGGGGUGACAUAUGGAAUGAAACUUUGAAUGGAAGUUGCUCUUUGUCAAGGCAGUCAGUGCAGCCUCAGAACAAGAUGUAUCCAGGAGAACUCUGUAGCCACAGCAGUAAAUAGCAAGCCAACAUUUUUAUCAUUUUAAGAAUGUGGAAUUCAAAAAGGGCAAUAAACCUCAAGCUCUUCUUUUUGCCUUAUGUAGGCUCUGCCUUGUGAAUCACAGCCAGAUGUGCCAGAACACACGGUCUGAGGGUCAGGGGAGGAUCAC